rnacentral:rRNA from 1 species
GAUCUGGCUCAGGAUGAACGCUAGCCACAGGCUUAACACAUGCAAGUCGAGGGGCAUCAGGAAGAAAGCUUGCUUUCUUUGCUGGCGACCGGCGCACGGGUGAGUAACACGUAUCCAACCUACCCUUUACUCGGGGAUAGCCUUUCGAAAGAAAGAUUAAUACCCGAUGGCAUAAUGAUUCCGCAUGGUUUCAUUAUUAAAGGAUUCCGGUAAAGGAUGGGGAUGCGUUCCAUUAGGUUGUUGGUGAGGUAACGG